rnacentral:rRNA from 1 species
CCAUUGUGACCUUACCUAUGUUCUGUUGCCUCGGCGGCGUGGUCAGCGCCCCGGUGAACGAGGACGAUGCCCUCCCGCCGGCAGCACCAAACUCUUUGAAAUUUACAGCGGAUUUUAGUUUCUGAUUUGAAAACAAAAAAACAAGUUAAAACUUUCAACAACGGAUCUCUUGGUUCUGGCAUCGAUGAAGAACGCAGCGAAAUGCGAUAAGUAAUGUGAAUUGCAGAAUUCAGUGAAUCAUCGAAUCUUUGAACGCACAUUGCGCCCGGCAGCAAUCUGCCGGGCAUGCCUGUCCGAGCGUCAUUUCAACCCUCGAACCUCCGUUUCCUCAGGGAAGCUCAGGGUCGGUGUUGGGGCGCUACGGCGAGUCUUCGCGACCCUCCGUAGGCCCUGAAAUACAGUGGCGGUCCCGCCGCGGUUGCCUUCUGCGUAGUAAGUCUCUUUUGCAAGCUCGCAUUGGGUCCCGGCGGAGGCCUGCCGUCAAACCACCUAUAACUCCAGAUGGUUUGACCUCGGAUCAGGUAGGGUUACCCGCUGAACUUAAGCAUAUCAAAAGCCCGAAGGAAACUUACAGAGUUACUACUCCAAACCCAUUGUGAACCUUACCUAUGUUCUGUUGCCUCGGCGGCGUGGUCAGCGCCCCUCUGAAAAGAGGACGAUGCCCUCCCGCCGGCAGCACCAAACUCUUUGAAUUUUACAGCGGAUUUUAGUUUCUGAUUUGAAACAAAAAAACAGUUAAAACUUUCACAACGGAUCUCUUG